rnacentral:lncRNA from 1 species
GAAGCCUUCAGUCUCUAUGCACGCAGCAUGCCUUCCCAGCCUCCUGUGGUUGUAGAGUGUAUAGAAGGCAGUUGGAUCACUAUGGACAGCGGGUAAGAGCUGAGGAAGCAGCCUCCGCCAGGUGGUAACAUGGAGGACCCUGAAGCAGGCCAAUUAAAUCAAGCAUAUUCCUCAGUAUCAUGGAGAGACUGGAGGUUAGAGACACCAAAACCAUCCCUGGCUUAAUGACUUUGGGAUCCCUGGGCCCCUCCAUGCAGCAGAACGGCAAUUAACCAAGACCAUUGGCCAUUCUCUGACCAUCUCAAGCCAGAGGUGACUUGAUCUGUCACCCAGCUGUGGCCCAUGAGCAUUAUCUAAGGAGGAACAUUUUUGCUUACGUUUCCAGUGCUCUACAUAAGCCCUAGGCCCUGGGAGGCACUGAAAUGCUCAAUGGGAGCUCCAUGUGUGCAGGCUUAUGGACUGAAAUACUACUUUCAUGGCUCUGGCUAUGAACAUCAGCAUAUAGAGAAUGGAUCACUACCAAAGAAGGCACCCGAAUGUGUCUGUCUCAUCCUGGGGAAACUCAUUCAUCUGUAUAUGUACUCAGCAAGUGUUUCCUGGCACCUGCUCUGGGUCACAGUGCUGGGCACUGGAAGCUGAGAGAUGUGGAAGAAGGCUGGACAUUCAAGAUGAGAAGCCCGAGGCUGGUAAACUAGAGUCCAAGGGCAGAAAGCUGCUGAGCCAACCUAAAUGUGCAGUCCCAUCUCUCCCAAAGAUCCCAGGCCAGCCGGAGCUGAAUGCAAGAACUAUUUAAGAAGCCUCAGCUCCUCUUCACUCCCAGGAAGGAUGAAGGCGAAUGGACACAUUUUGAUCAGAGACCACAAAAUCCUGCGAAGGCAUCAGAAAUGGAAGAGCUCCAGGGUGAAAAGAGCACGCUUCCAUUUGGGAGCUUGGGGCCUAGAUUAUGGCCCAGUCCUCAGUGGCUCCAUUCGCUUUUCUUUUCUUUUUGGUAGCCACAAAAAGGUUCUAAGUCUUGUUACAGCUGGAGAACCAACCACUUGGGGAUCUGAGCAGAAACUCAAAUUCUUGCUUUUCAGUAGAGCCAUUAAAAAGAAGGAGCCUGGGCUCAGGCCCACCUCUGUCUGCAUCCUGGCUCUGCCCCUCAUUAGCUGCGUGACCUUGCACAGAUGACUUAACUUCUCUGACCCUGGGCCCCUUUAUUAGGAAUGUGGAGGGUUAAGUAAGAGCCAGGAGGCAAGUUGGCAGAAGGGCCCUGGGCAGUCACGUUCAAAGACUGGCAGAAGUUCAGAGCCCCAUUCUGCCACCUAGUGGUGGUAUGUCCUUGGGCAAGUCGCUAAGUUACAACCUCUGGGCCUCCGUUUCUUCACCUGCAAAAUGGAGCUGAUGACUACCGAAACUUCCUCCUUGGGUCCUUGUGAGGGCUAAAUGUCUGUGAAACACUUAGAAUAGUGGCUGGCUUAUAGCAAGCCCUGUCUGAGGUCAGCUAGGUUAGUAAUCUAACAUCAUGCUUAGUAUCCUAGGAGAUUCGGUAGGUGUGACAGCAGCUGUGACAUCAUUAACUAGGAGGUUAUCUGGGCUCUGCAUCAGAAAGGGAGUGGCCAGCUGUCCUCAUCACAAUGUCUAGUAGCAAUAAAGGUUUUCCUCCCGCUGCCCUGGAGUCCUCCAUCACUGACUGUUAGAAAUGGGGUCUUGUUGGAUAAGUUGGAUAGGACACGCGUUUCCAGCACUCUCUAUGAAAUGCCACGCUGCUACAAACCCCCCAUAGCACCCACUCGGCGGCAUUUACCCCACUCUCCUGUCACAGCCCAUUUACUUGUCUGUCUCUCUUACUGGCCUGUGGGCAACUCGAGGGCAACAUCUGUCUCAGUCACUGUGGAGAGAUGGCAAAGUGUCGUGGUGAAGUGAGACAGCCAGGCCCCAGUCCUUGCUCUGCCACUUACCAGCUGUGUGGGAGCUGGUCUAUGUGUCCUAACCUUCCUUUGAAGGUGCUUCUCCAAAUUUCACUACGUCCACACAGUCACUUGGGAAUCUUGCAGUGAUUCUGAUUCAGUAGGUCUGGGGUUGAUCUGCAUCUCCAACAAGAUCCCAUUUCUAACAGUAGGUGAUGGAGGGCUCCACGGUUGGGGGCAGCAAAUCUUUUUUUUUUUUUUUUUGCCACCAGAUAUUAUGAUGACAGCUGGCCACUUGCUGUGCCUCAGUUUCUUCAUGCAUAAAAAGUGCAAAAUAAUAGUGUCUAUCUCACAGGGUUGUUGUAAAUAUUGAAGGAUUAAAUGAGCGCCAGGCAGGUGCUGAGCAUUCAAUCAGAGUUGGCGCCUUCUAUUGUUGUGCUAUUGUUGUGUUGCUGUUGUCAUUGUAUCUCUAGUACCCAGCCCAGUGCCAGGCACCCAGUAGACACUCCACAAACAUUUAUUGAAUAAAUAAAUGACCUCAGCUGGGUGCACAUCAAUGUUUUUCACACCCUUGACAUUGGCAAGGCUUUUUCCGAUAUCGAACACUGAACUCUGUUUCUGUUGUGUGACUUGAAUUCCCUGGGGAAGAUGAGCGAUUGGGAGCAGACUCUCAAUGUCCUCUGAAAAAUAACCUGCCGAAUGGAGAAGGCCACGUUGACCUCCAUCUUUGGGGCCAGGUCAAGGAAGAAACAGGACUUUAAAAAAAUAUGGUGAUUAUGGUUUAGGGAGGCAGACCUUUAGAGUCAAGUAAGUACAAUCUGGGUAAAACAAAUGUUGUUCAUUUGUAUGUAAGGGGCAACGUUUCCAUCCAGCAGGAAGAUGUCCUCUUGCUCUUGAACGAGACAUUGUGCUUUCAAAAUUUUAUUCUUUUUCAUCCAGGGACAAUGGCUGGAGGAAGAAAUGAGAGGAUCUCUAUACCCAGGCCUUGGCUUCUAUGUCCCUUCUCGAAGUGGUUGAAGUGCAGAUUUCUGAUUCUGUACCCAGCCUCCAGGGACACAGUACACAGUAUGCUGGGAAUGGCGGUGGGUGUUUGAGGUACAUUACUUCCAGACAAAACAUGGCUGCAGAGGGAUACCAAAAGCAUCUUCUGGUGGCUGAAGCCCUGUCUGCACAAGUGUCUGUGUUCUUCAAUGGUUCAGGCAAGCUCAGACAGACCCUCUGCUUCUCUUAACCUGAGACACUAGUUUCCCCAAGAACUUUGAGCUGAAGGUUCCUUGCUGUGUCCCCUACCUGGCUGUGAGGACUUUGAGUAUAAUUAUCCUAUCUUAUUUGUUGCUGUGCUCCCAGUGUCUUGGAUGGAGCCUGACAUCUAGUCAGUGUUAGUAAAUGUUGAUGUGUAUUGAAUUUUGCAAGGAUCUGCAGCCCUGAGAAGAGGGGAUACUUCUUGGAAACCUCUGUGGGCUAAAUUGAGGGUUAAGGACUGGGACUGGAAGGCAGAGAUUCCAGAGUGAUAACCACAGUAGUUACUAUUUCAUGAGAGCCUCCAUGUGCCAGCCUCUAAGCUAGGCCCAUACCAUGCAUUACCUCUUGUCCCCACUUUACAGAAACUAAGGCUUAGACAAGUUAAGCAACUUGCUAAAGAUCAAACAACUCAAUAUGUGUUGGAGUCAAAUGAACGCAUUUCUUUUCCAUUUCCCUCAUUUACUCCACUAAUGACAGUACUUAAAUUGUAGACUAGGAAUUAAAAUAGCAGAAGCCUGACUUGAGAGGGCAGAGCCCCUGCGUUUGAGUGCCUGAAAGUCAGUCAUGGGUAGAAAGAACAGUCUUGUAGCAGAGCUCUGGGCAAGGGAGGAGCCGUGAGCAGGUGGACAUGAACUCACUGUGACAACUCUCCAACAGUGAAAGCAGGUUCCCAUGGAAUCCAGGGAAAUUACUGAAUAACUUUCAACACAAAAAUGUGUGCUAGUGAGCUGUAGAGCCUUUAUAUCCCCCCAAAACAUAUUAUGGGGGUGGGGGGGGGGCGCGGAAUUCUGAAUUUUUGUUGUUGUUGUUGUUGUUGAGACAGAGUUUUGCUGUUGUUGCCCAGGCUGGAGUGCAAUGGCACAAUCUUGGCUCUCCACAACCUCCGCCUCCUGGAUUCAAGCGAUUCUCCUGCCCCAGCCUCCAGAGUAGGGGCUGGGAUUGUAGACAUGCGCCACCACGCCUGGCUAAUUUUGUAUUUUUAGUAGAGAUAGGGUUUCUGCAUGUUGAUCAGGCUGGUCUCGAACUCCUGACCUCAGGUGAUCCACCCGCCUUGGCCUCCCAAAGUGCUGGGAUUACAGGUGUGUGCCACGGCGCCCGGCCUAAGUAAAUAGUUUGGAAAGCUGCAUCCAAUAGUCUCUUUUGAAGAUUCACAAUGCACCCUAGCUUGUUAACUAUUCCAAGAAGUCCCCGGAAAAGAAUGCUUGUUUGACUUUCUUGAAUCCAGUGUUGCCCAUGUUUAUUUGACUAGUGAGCAGGUUUUUUUGUUUGUUUGUUUGUUUUUUAAGUGACACUUUUUAACACUCUGAGGCAGUAAUAUUGUACUGAACACAUGGGGAAUCUUCUGUGGAAGUUUGGCCUGGAAUACAUCCUCUGUGUUCCUUCUCGCCCCGUGGCUGAGUGAGUGUGCUGUAAAAGCUUAGUGACAGAAAAGCCCCACUUAGCCUAUUUGUGAUGAUUUCCUAAACCGGGCAAAUAACUCAUCUGAAUGGCUGAGGUGAUAAACUCACAGGAGGAGAAGAUGCUGGAGGAAGUGUCAUGUGUCCUGCAUGUAGGUACCACUUCACCUCCCAGCAAGGCGAUGCUGAUAGCAACGUUUUCCUUGGGUGUUGAAUUUUCCAUCCUGCAAUUACGUCUUAAGCCAUAGAUAAAAUUCACAUCCACGUUUCACUCAAGAUAAACCUAACAUCAUAAUAAUACAGAAGAUUAAUUCAUUGGGGAAAAAUAGAAGAAAAUUGGUCUUGGCUUAAAGAGAAGUCAACAUUUAGAAUGUGUAGAAGGGGAUUUCUUCUGGAUCACACUCUGUCCUCAACAGUGGCAUGUGAAAAUGUAUGUGGUUCGCUUUAGUGCAUGCAUGUUUGUGCCUGUCCCACUGACACAUCCACAGUGUGACCCAUAGAGGUCCACUUCUAAGACCCCUAACUCUGAGUCCAACCCACCCUUUUGGGCUCACUGCAGUCAUUUCUCUCUGAAGUCUUCCUUGACAACCUAGGCAUCAUCAGUUUUUCUCUUCUCUGAUCAUCUUAGCAAGUGUAUCCAUAAGCUAUAAUCACAAUCAUGCUGCAUAACAAAACCAAAAACUCAAUGGCCAAUAACAAUGAACAUUUAUUUUUUGUUUUCAUGUCUAGAGGCCAGGUGGGGGGUGGCUGAUCUAAGCUGGGUUUUGCUCUAGGUUAGAUUUAGUCUAGGUUGGCCUCACAUGUCUCUCAUUCUUCAGGUGUCAGGAGGCCACCAUGGGCCUGAUCUUCAGGACAGAUGCCUCUUAAGACUUGGGCUUUGACUCAUACACUGUUACUGCCACCCAUGUCCUGUUGGCCAAAGUCAAUUUCAUUACCAAGCCCAAGAUCUGUGGAGUGGAGAAAUGCAUUUUGAAGGGGAGGGAGUCAAUCUGUAAUGAGCACCAUGAUGUACCAUAGAGCAUUUGUAGUCAUGAGCCUGAUUUAGACACUUGGUGGGGUAUCUCUGUGCUCUUAGGAAUUGUGUCUCUGUGUCUGUCAGAGGUGAUAACAUUGGAGCUGAGCCUUAAAAAAUAAAAGUUUCCUCAAACACCUCUGUGACUUCUGUGAUGCCUUCUGUUCACCACCCACAGUAGCACUGAAGGAAGAAAAGUAGUAACAUGUGAAGUGCAUAGGCAGCCCAGGGAGUCAUGCAUCCUAGUUCUGCAAGGAGGGUGCCCCUAGCCAGCCCUUGAUUGCCUCCCAGUUUUGGAGUUUGUAAGAGUCACAAAUAAUCACACUUCCCUCUCCUCAAAGUUCUGAACCAACUAAAAAUUAUACAUGGGAAUUUGAUGGGGAUGAAAAUAUGGACUUUAUAAGUAAAAAUGAAUUUGAGAACAGCUUGGACCUGAAGCUGAAGGGGUUUCCUUGAUACUUUUCAUCUGGAUCCUGUAGUCCACCUGAGGGUAGUUGUGGGUCUUCAUGGUGGACUUUUAACCAGAUGCAUGAAAAAUUGUGGCCAGGAGAGAGGCCACACCUGAGAGGGAUGUUUACACAUGAGAAACAUAGACCAGUGGGUGUCAGCCUCUUGCCACCUCAACAAUUAUGCCAAUUUCUCCUACACACAAAUGAAGGAGAGAAGAGCUAAGUGUGAAAGGAAAGAUGGAACUCUGUCCUCCCCAUCUAAUCCGGGAUGGAAGCUGUCUGUUGCAGGGACCAGCAUGAGGUGGGGAGGAAGGAUGACCCCGGUGAUCUAGAAAAUGGGACUGAUGCUAUUUAGACGGCUGCCAUCACUGAGUCAGCGGGUGUGGGCUUCUUUAUGCACUUGCUAGAAAUGGGCCAUCAGGCCACUCCUAGUGUGCCCUGGAGCAACUUGUUCUUGUCUGCAAGUCCAGAUGCAGAACACCUAACUCCACUCCACUUCAUCCCCAAAUCCCAACCCGUCUUCACUCAUUUCCGACUGAACCAAGCCACCUGAGUGUCGUGAGUUCACCUGUGUGUUCUUGCCAUCUCCUGGGAUGGAGUCCCCACAGGUCAGAACACUUGAACUCAUUGUGUAGAACCAGAUUCUCUCCCACACUUUUCUCUCUCCUCUCAGAGGCCAAUUUGUUCUGCAGUCAAUUCUGCAGAAGUUAGAAAUAAAGCAUGGUGACCAAUCAGAGAUGAGAGAGGGUGUGGUUGGGCUGAGAGUCACUUUUCAGAGCUUAUGAAAAGCUGCAAACCCGGUGGAUGGCUUACACUCUUUCCUCAAGGGCAACACACUGAGUGAGAGGGUGCUGGAGGGGGAUGCUGGGGAAAGCGAGCUUGUAUUCAAGGAGGCCUGUGGUGUCAUUAUUUACAGUGUCACACCUGAUCCUCCCAACGACCCCAUCUCUAGGCUCUGGAAGUUAGUGGUUAAGAGCACAUCUCUCAGGCUUGUUCACAUACAGUUGUGUGACCUUGGGCAAGUCUCUGUGCCUCAGUUUACUCAUCUGUAGAAUGUUGGUAGAGGAGGAUAUUAAGAGUAACUACCACAUAGUGGUGCUGGGAGGAUAAAAUGAUUUAAUAGAUGUGAUGGGCAGCUGUGGGGAUGGCUCCCAGUGAUCCCUGUCUCCAGGUAUCCAUGCCCUUGCUUGUAAGGAAGAGAAUAUGGCAAAGUUGAUAGGCUGUCUCUUCCAAGAUCAGGUUACAAGAGACUGUGAACUCCCUCUUGCUUACUUUCUCUUACUCUCUUUCUUACUCCAGUGGAAACCAACAGCGUGUUACGAGCUGCCCAGUGGAGAAACCCACACUACAAGAAACUGUGGAUGGCCUCCUCUGGUCAAUAGCCAGCUAGGAAUAAGGCCUUCAUCCAAUAGCCCAUGAGGAACUGAAUCCUGCCAAAAACCACACACGUGAGCUUAGAAGCAGAUCUUUCCCCAGUAGAGCCUUGAAAUGACUGCUGCCCCCACCUGACACCUUAACUGUGGUCUGUGUGAGACUCUGAAACAGGGGGCCCAGCUAAGCCAAGCCCAUAUUCCUGACCCACAGACGCUUUGAGAUAAUAUUGAAUAAAUUCUUGUGGUGUUAAGCCACUGAGUUUUAGGGUAAUUUGUUAGACAGCGAUAGAUAACGAAGACAAUACAUUAACAAUUCUUAAGAUACCCAGUGGAUAGUAAACCUUCAAUAGAUAUUGACUGUCUUUAUUAUUAAUAUCUCAGUUUCACAGAUGAGACAAAUGAGGCUCAGAGUGACUUCCCAGAGUUCGACAGUUAAUAUGCAGUAGAGUAGGGGCUCUGCCUUUGUUCUAUCUGACUUCAAAGUCAGUGCUCUCAAAGCAUCACUAUUUGGAAGACUCAGCUCCUUGAGGUGCCUAAGCAGGAUUUGUAGAAAAACAGAGGGCAGAUUUCCAUGGGCUGCCUUAGAUAGGUGAAUGACCCCUUAAGGCUGUAGAGGGCCAGGCCUAGGGCUGGGGAGAGCCAUGGCCAGCUCUUCAGGGAGUCUACAUGGGUAGGAGGACUAGCUCCUGCACCCAAACUUCACUAGGGGCUAGGUCUUCCAGCACAUGGGAGAACCAACGCAUGGCUGAGUCUGCUCCUAGAGUUUGUAAGAUGCUGUGUACUGAGAAAUGGAGCUCUGGUCUCUCCUCGCCCUCUGCUAUAGUUUCAAUGUGUUCCCCAAAAAGCAUGUGUUGGAAACUUAAUCCCCAAUGCAACAGUGUUGGGAAGUAGGGCCUAAUGGGAGGUGUUUAGGGCAUGAGGUCUCUGUCCUCAUGAAUGGAUUAAUGCCGAUUAUAAAAGGUCUUGAGCAUGUGAGUUCAUUCUCUUGCUCUCUCACAAUGCUGUCUUGCCCUUCCACCGUGAGCCAUGGGAUGAUGUAGGAAUCAUCCCAUGAUUGGUGGCACCUUCAUAUUAGACUAUGUUGGACUUCGCAGCCUCCAGAACUGUGAUAAACAAAUACCUUAUAAGUUACGACACCUCUGAUAUUGUGUUAUAGCAACACAAAACAGACUGAGACUCUUUCUCUCAUUCCCUCUGGGAGCUCAUGAACUAGGAGCCUGAGAUAAGCCCCAUUCAGAGGAGUCUCAUCUGAGCAAAGGCCGUUUUCGUUGCUAUCCUAUCAUGCUAUAGACAGCAAUGAUGAAUCAACUUAGCUGAUCGGAGGGCAGUCAGCACCAUCAGAAACAACAUGUCCUCUUAGCACAGUAACUGCUGGGAACAUCUACAAGAUUCCUCAGGGUGUAUGGGCAACAGACACAGGGAGCGUGCAGAGAGGCAGGUGGCACAGCCCCUGAUAUCUGCGGUGGUGAGACGCACAAUGGGAGCAGAUUCAAGCUUCACCACACAGACACUCAAAGAAUCAACGGAUACACGGAGACACCCAGGCACCUGCAUUAAUACCCAUAUACUCCCAGACACAUGGCCACACUCAUAGACACACCUACAGAAUGACACACUCAGACAUUCAGUGUGAAAGACACAAAUGCUCAGAUAAAUGCCCAGGUGGUAGGGAGGAACAUUAAAAUCCCACAACUCAUGUUUCCAGGGAGGGGAAGUCUUUUCCAUUGCACCAUGCAGGAGGGAAAAGUAUUGAAGGAACACUUCUUGCCCUUGUCCAUCCCCUCACCCAUUUCUCCCCAGAGGAGAGUUGGUGAGUUUGGGGGAGGAACAGAGCAUGCUCAGUCUAGUCUCCCCUAGGGCUUCUCUGUCUUUUACCCUGCCUGCCUGCAGAGGGGAAACAACAUUCUCAUCAGUCCUCUGGUACUGGGUGGCCUCUCAGGGUCGGCUUGGCCCCUCUGGGGAGUUGCCUGGUGUGACCAGUGCCGAUGGACACGUCUAUCUAAUUCAUUGGGGAAGAAUUUGCAGACCCUUUGGCUACAUAUCCAAAGCCACAUUCUUUACUUGACUGUACCCAGUAAUAGAGCUGACAUUCUGAUCUUCACCUCUAUCUCUGAGGCCUUAUUUCUCAGUUGGUGUCAAACUUGCGAUUCCCCGGUUCCAACACCAAAUAUUCCCACUUAGAGGAAAAACAGAAACAUGGACAAAUGUUCAAAGACACAGCAGAGAAACAUAGAUGAGAUGGUACAUUUGCUCUCCUGAGUGGAGGGAGGAUGGUUAGAAGAGCAGUUCAUGAGUCUGGCUGGGUGUUAGAAUCACCUGGGAAGAAUUACAAAUAGGUACUCAUGUCUGGGUCCUACUCCAGACAAACUGAUUCAGAAUCUACUGGGUCAGGGCCUGGGCAGUGGUCAAUUUUAAAGCUCCCCAGGUGAUUCUAACAGGCAGCUUCCCCACUCCCCAGCACUCCAUGAGGAGCAAAAGAGUGUUGGUGACUGGGGGCCUAACCCAUCGGUCACAGACCUCCCUCAGACGUCACUUGCUUCCAGCUAUAGCUCCAAAUUUCUCUCCUAUGGACAUUCUGGGGAUUCUGGUAGCAGCUGAGGGCUGUGCACUAAGCAGGCAAUUGCCUUUGGCUGCUGCUCUUCUGACUCUUCUAACUCUUCUGGUGGACCAUGGGGGCUGUCUCACCACUCUUCAAGCAGAAGUCCCUCACUCCUGCCUUGGAUCCCCAACACGUACGGAUGCUUAGGUCGACAUGGUAUUUUUCCUCUUGCUUUCAGUCUAGCUUCCUGUUGCAUCUCUGCUUGGUUGGCCCCUGGCAGAGCAGGUGCACAGGACACCGAGUGGAGAACUGGCCCCAGUGACAGUGGCUCGGCACAUGCUCUUCAUCCCAUAGCCAAAGGCACUUUCUUUGUGAUGCAUGGAGGCCAAACUCUUCUGCCAGCAACAGAGAAGCAAGGCCAGGCUGAUGGCUGCAAAAUGAGAGCGUGGUGUAAAGAUGGGAGCAGAGGUGGCGUGUACCCAUCCAGUGGCCUUGAUGCUUCUGUGAAUAUGGAG